GAACGUUAGGUAAAAUCAUAAUGCAGCCCAAAUUCCGACAAGCAACCGCCCCGCUGAACUGCGAAAAAACAUUCUCUGCGAUGGCCCGAUUCUUUUGGAACCGGUUCCUCAGCCCCCAGCCCCCCGGGGCCAUCAGGAUCGGGCCUAUUCGCA
rnacentral:sRNA from 20 species